rnacentral:tRNA from 1 species
AAGAUAUUAGUAAACACAUUACAUAACUUUGUCAAAGUUAAAUCACUGGUGAAACCCCUGUAUAUCUUC